AUUGGACAAUGGGCGCAAGCCUGAUCCAGCCAUGCCGCGUGUGUGAAGAAGGCCUUAUGGUUGUAAAGCACUUUAAGCGAGGAGGAGGCUACUUUAGAUAAUACCUAGAGAUAGUGGACGUUACUCGCAGAAUAAGCACCGGCUAACUCUGUGCCGGCAGCCGCGGUAAUACAGAGGGUGCAAGCGUUAAUCGGAUUUACUGGGCGUAAAGCGCGCGUAGGCGGCUAAUUAAGUCAAAUGUGAAAUCCCCGAGCUUAACUUGGGAAUUGCAUUCGAUACUGGUUAGCUAGAGUGUGGGAGAGGAUGGUAGAAUUCCAGGUGUAGCGGUGAAAUGCGUAGAGAUCUGGAGGAAUACCGAUGGCGAAGGCAGCCAUCUGGCCUAACACUGACGCUGAGGUGCGAAAGCAUGGGGAGCAAACAGGAUUAGAUACCCUG
rnacentral:rRNA from 1 species